rnacentral:rRNA from 1 species
CUUGGUCAAUUUAGAGGAAGUAAAAGUCGUAACAAGGUCUCCGUUGGUGAACCAGCGGAGGGAUCAUUACCGAGUUUACAACUCCCAAACCCCCUGCGAACCGUACCAUUGAACGUUGCCUCGGCGGGACCGCCCCGGCGCCCAUCGCGGCCCGGACCCAGGCGCCCGCCGGAGGGCCCCAAGACUCCAACUGUCAGCGGCAUCUCGGCGUACAAGCAAAACAAAUGAAUCAAAACUUUCAACAACGGAUCUCUUGGUUCUGGCAUCGAUGAAGAACGCAGCGAAAUGCGAUAAGUAAUGUGAAUUGCAGAAUUCAGUGAAUCAUCGAAUCUUUGAACGCACAUUGCGCCCGCCAGCACUCUGGCGGGCAUGCCUGUCCGAGCGUCAUUUCAACCCUCGAGCACCGCUCGGCGUUGGGGGAGCGGCCCGCGCGCCGCCCCCCGAAAUGCAGUGGCGACCUCGCCGCGUCCACCCCUGCGCAGUAGCUCUCCCGAGAACCUCGCAUCGGCGGCGCGGCGGCGGUCACGCCGUGAAACGACCCCCCUUUCAAGAGUUGACCUCGGAUCAGGUAGGGAUACCCGCUGAACUUAAGCAUAUCAAUAAGCGGAG